UCUAAAAUAAACAUACUGUACUGUGAUGGUAUGUUGAGGCUUAUGCUUACCCUUGAACAUAUAACAAGUUAUAUGUGAAUUUCCUCUUUUUUUUUUUUUUACAUACUUCAGAAAGGCCUGGCCUGUGCAAACACAGCACAGCAUCAGCCACACCAAAGGAGAUUCCUGUAGGGAACCUGAGAAUGACACACAGGAUACCCCACUGCUCGAGGUCAGAGGGUUAACUGCCCCCUCCCAAAUGCACACUCGUACACAAAGGCUGCAGUUACAAGUAAGCAAGCGUCUGUCUCUAGCAGAUUUAUUAAAAACCUGACACAGCCAUAAUCACUGACGGUAAGCCACGCUAAGCUAAGCUACGUAUUGUCUACAUUUUUACGUUGUCUACAGUCUUUUUCCAUCUGUUCUGUGUGUUUUUUUUUCAGUUCAGUGAAGUUUCAGGACUUUGAGUGAGAUGGGCAGCACUGCGGGGGAUGUGGAGCUGAGAUCGAUUCCUCCAUGGGAGACCCCCAGGGGGCGCUGUCUGUGGAAAACAUGAAUAGUGUCGAUGACGUGAAACAUCUAGAAGCGCUGUCCAUCAGCGGUGUAUGAAGCGCUGCAAGCCGACCCUCCCGCAGGACAGCAUUGACGAGCCCCCUCCGCAUACGUGACAACUUCUGACUGGAGAGCUACAGUGGAUGUGGCACCGAAGAACAAGUGCAUUUCUUCCUCACUCAGAUAAGAGACGUAUGCGUGGGGGGAUGACAACCGAAAUGGAAAAGGAACUUCGGUCUGCAGAGCUAGUCAGUUUAAAGACAUUUGUAGAAAAAACAUUUGAGAUUGAAGGCUCUGGUUUUCGCUUUCGCCGUCACUGAAACUUUCUCGAAUUCUCAAAAAAUUCCCCCCCAGAAAUGUAGCAUCCUUGAAUACAGAUGCGGUCACAUAAUGUCUCUGACCCAGUUGUGUGGAAUAUUUCUUAAUACUAAAACCAAAGCACCGUU